rnacentral:rRNA from 1 species
UACGUAGGGGGCAAGCGUUGUCCGGAUUUACUGGGCGUAAAGAGCGUGUAGGCGGCCAAGCAGGUCCGUUGUGAAAACUCGAGGCUUAACCUCCGAGAUGUCAUCGGAAACCAUUUGGCUAGAGUCCGGAAGAGGAGAGUGGAAUUCCUGGUGUAGCGGUGAAAUGCGCAGAUAUCAGGAAGAACACCAAUGGCGAAAGCAGCUCUCUGGGACGGUACUGACGCUGAGACGCGAAAGCGUGGGGAGCGAACAGG